AUGAAGGCGCCAGGACACAGAUAUCAACUGAAAAGGACACACGGUUUAUUGAAAAUUUCAAAGGUCACAGAGAAUGAGGAGGCAGCAGAUGUGAUGUCACAGGAUAUGACGCAGGCGGAAGUGAUGUCCCUUCCUCCUUUCUCCAGGAUUGAUAUUAUUUAUUCAAAGAGAGAAAGAAAGAGAGAGCAUGAGCAUGGAGAAGGUCAGAGGGAGAAGCAAACUCCCCAAGGAGGUGUCAGCCCAAAGCAGGACUUGAUCCCUGGAUUCCAGAUGGGUGAACAGGAGCACAUUAACUAUAAGUGAGGACAUAUCUCCAAGCAACAGAUGCAUUUUAAUAUUGUUCCAAGAAGACAAUGUAUUUGAAAUAAAAAGAUAAAAAAACAGUGUGAUGCCAGGGAAAGAUCAGCAAUGUUGGGGAUUACACUACUUGUGCAAAUUAUUCUAUCACAUGAAAAGUCACUUAGAAAAAGACCUCAUCUGGCUCUACUGCCUGGAUCAAAUAACUCUUUCCGGUAUUUUCUGAAACUGGAGCAUCUAUAAGCACCUUACAGGUGAUCGUCAGAGAUGUGGUUAAAAAGACCUCAAUCUGAGGACUUUCCUGGACCAGCAUUUUUCAUCUGGAACUUCUAUUGCUCCUGGAACAUCACUGUUGCCUGGAAUUCUGCUGCCUAAAAUUCCUAAUAUAGUUCCGUAUUCAGAAACAAGUCCUCACUGAACAACUUUUUGGAACACCUCUGCCCCUGCCCCAGUGAAUCUUCCCCUCCUCCCUCUGUCACUGCCUGCUGAGUAGCCACAUCUGCUCAAACCAUGUGCUUUCAAUGCUGAGUUCCCAAAAUCAAAGUUAGGAACCUUAUAACAGGGUAGCCCACCCACAAAAGACAAAAAUUCAAUGUUGUGUAGGAUCUGAGAUUAAUUCACACCCUCUCUGGGAAGGUGGAAUUGGGAAACUGAGGAACUAGAAAUCAAGAGAGCUGUGGCUGGCUUGAGCAGAAACGCCAUGCAGAGGGUGGGGUGGAGGAAGAUACACUGAGUGGCUUGCAGAUGAAACUGUUCACAGGAAGGAAUGUAGAACAGCCCUUACCACUGUCUGUGCCUGGUAU
rnacentral:lncRNA from 1 species